UCCAGUGCUGGCGAGAUUCAAUUUAUAGAGGAUCAAUCAAAAUGCCGUGUAGAAAAAGCGCGAGCUGGUAAUAGAGUCAGCGGAUGUGACCCUUUCAGCUGAACCAUUGCUAGAUAACAGAUCGCUGUAAACAAACUACUCAAAAGAAAAUAGGGUCUGUGUUCCUUUUGAUUGAAGGCGUCCAAGUCUGAAACCUCAGUUGAAAACUCUCUAAAGAAAGCUGCAGUAUCGUUCCACUGGAGUCUCGCAUGAAGGAGCAAUGCCUGAUAACAGUUCUAAAGGUGUUUCUCAUGGGCAUUCUGCUUAUACAAAGAGGAUACUCAGAUCCUGAACUCAUCACAGUUUUGAUUCUGAUGAAGGGCUUAUGCCUGAAACGUCGAUUCUCCUGCUCCUCGGGUGCUGCCUGACCUGCUGUGCUUUUCCAGCACCACACUCUCCACCCCAGUUUUGGUUCAGACAUGAACAAAAGACCUGAAUUCCAGAGGAAAGAUAAAAUGAAAUAUCAGAAGACCGAAAACACAGAGGACAACUGAAAUAUUUACAACUGUCGAGGAUACAAGACAUUGAUUAAGCAAGUGUGGUCUCAAGGACUCCCAAAUUGAUUCUGCUUAUUGAUUCCCAUAUGAUCAUUUCGCCACAUGUAUCCUAGCAACAACCUUACAGAUACUCAAACCGCAGAGAAGAGUCACCACACUCUCCCCACGUUAAAGCAUUUUACUCCACUGACAUGGCUAUAAUUGGUUUAUUAAGUGUUACUUUUAAUGAAUUCUAGGCACUUUUAGAGCAAUCACCAACUACCUAGUCACCUGCCUCAAUGCAGUUUUAUUCUUAGCAGGAGACGUCUAUGUUUCAUUUUUGCCACAGAAUUGUGCAGAGAUGAUGCACCAGUUUUUAUGUGCAUAGGAAUAUCAUUAUUCACAGUGUCUGAAAGGUACAUGUCCUAUCAUGAUAACAGACGCAGUUUAGCUUUUUUCUCAUAACAGUCACCAAACCAGGGCUUAACUUAACACACUCAAAACAAAAAGCAGAUAUCAGGCACACACAACUGAA